rnacentral:rRNA from 1 species
UACGUAGGGGGCAAGCGUUGUCCGGAAUCAUUGGGCGUAAAGCGCGCGUAGGCGGCCCGGUAAGUCCGCUCUGAAAGUCCAGGGCUCAACCCUGGAAAGCGGGUGGAUACUGCCGGGCUAGAAUCCGGAAGAGGCGAGUGGAAUUCCUGGUGUAGCGGUGAAAUGCGCAGAUAUCAGGAGGAACACCUGCGGCGAAGGCGGGUAGCUGGGCCGACACUGACGCUGAGGCGCGAAAGCCAGGGGAGCGAACGGG